AAGAUGGAAACUUUCCUGGGCGGCUACAAUUAUACAUAAGACAAUGAGGUCAUCACAAGUUCUUUAAUCAUAUGCACACAGUAGAUCAAAGAAGCUUCAAUCAGACACCAAAAGACACGAGAAGGGAUAAAACUGCUAUAAUUUUGCAGUACCGAACAUCCGCGACUGACUGCUGCUAAACGAGAAGCACUGAAGGGGUUAGAUUGCCAAG